AGCGAACGCUGGCGGCAGGCCUAACACAUGCAAGUCGAACGAACUCUUCGGAGUUAGUGGCGGACGGGUGAGUAACACGUGGGAACGUUCCUUUUGGUUCGGCAUAACUCAGGGAAACUUGUGCUAAUACCGAAUGUGCCCUUCGGGGGAAAGAUUUAUCGCCAUUAGAGCGGCCCGCGUCUGAUUAGCUAGUUGGUGAGGUAACGGCUCACCAAGGCGCCGAUCAGUAGCUGGUCUGAGAGGAUGACCAGCCACACUGGGACUGAGACACGGCCCAGACUCCUACGGGAGGCAGCAGUGGGGAAUCGUGCGCAAUGGGCGAAAGCCUGACGCAGCCAUGCCGCGUGAAUGAUGAAGGUCUUAGGAUUGUAAAAUUCUUUCAACGGGGACGAUAAUGACGGUACCCGGAGAAGAAGCCCCGGCUAACUUCGUG
rnacentral:rRNA from 1 species